rnacentral:misc_RNA from 1 species
AACGCACGAGACCUGCGGACCUGCGGAGGGAUCAUUAAUGAGAAGCUGCCCCUCGUGGGUAGACCUCCCACCCUCUGUGAACUUACCUUUGUUGCUUUGGCAGGCCCGUCCUCUGGACCGCCGGCUUCGGCUGGCCCGUGCCUGCCAGAGGAUUCCAAACCCUGUCUGUCAGUGUUGUCUGAGUCUAUAUGAAAUCGUUAAAACUUUUAGCAACGGAUCUCUAGAUCGGAAGAGCACACG